CCUACGGGGGGCUGCAGUGGGGAAUAUUGGACAAUGGGGGCAACCCUGAUCCAGCCAUGCCGCGUGUGUGAAGAAGGCCCUCGGGUUGUAAAGCACUUUCAGUGAGGAAGAACGCCUGGUGGUUAAUACCCAUCAGGAAAGACAUCACUCACAGAAGAAGCACCGGCUAACUCCGUGCCAGCAGCCGCGGUAAUACGGAGGGUGCGAGCGUUAAUCGGAAUUACUGGGCGUAAAGCGCGCGUAGGUGGCUUGAUAAGCCAGUUGUGAAAGCCCCGGGCUCAACCUGGGAACGGCAUCCGGAACUGUCAAGCUAGAGUGCAGGAGAGGAAGGUAGAAUUCCCGGUGUAGCGGUGAAAUGCGUAGAGAUCGGGAGGAAUACCAGUGGCGAAGGCGGCCUUCUGGACUGACACUGACACUGAGGUGCGAAAGCGUGGGUAGCAAACAGGAUUAGAUACCCUUGUAGUC
rnacentral:rRNA from 1 species